rnacentral:rRNA from 1 species
AAGUCGAGCGGGAAAGCCCGCAAGGGUGAGUACAGCGGCGCACGGGUGCGUAACACGUGGAUAAUCUGCCCUGAAGCUCGGGAUAACUCGCCGAAAGGCGUGCUAAUACCGGAUGAGACCACGGGAGCCUCGGCUCCUGUGGGAAAAGGUGGCCUCUGUAUACAAGCUAUCACUUCAGGAUGAGUCCGCGGCCCAUCAGCUCGUUGGCGGGGUAAUGGCCCACCAAGGCUACGACGGGUAGCUGGUCUGAGAGGACGAUCAGCCACACUGGAACUGAGACACGGUCCAGACUCCUACGGGAGGCAGCAGUGGGGAAUCUUGCGCAAUGGGCGAAAGCCUGACGCAGCAACGCCGCGUGUGUGAUGAAGGUCUUCGGAUCGUAAAGCACUGUCGGGAGAGACGAAUAAGGGCCGGGUGAAUAAUCCGGUCCGAUGACGGUACCUCCAAAGGAAGCACCGGCUAACUCUGUGCCAGCAGCCGCGGUAAUACAGAGGGUGCAAGCGUUGUUCGGAAUUAUUGGGCGUAAAGCGCGUGUAGGCGGUCUCGCAAGUCGGAUGUGAAAGCCCUCGGCUUAACCGAGGAAGUGCGUUCGAAACUACGAGACUUGAGUGCCGGAGAGGGCGGCGGAAUUCCCGGUGUAGAGGUGAAAUUCGUAGAUAUCGGGAGGAACACCAGUGGC